UACGUAGGUGGCAAGCGUUGUCCGGAAUUACUGGGUGUAAAGGGCGUGUAGGCGGGUAUGCAAGUCAGAUGUGAAAUUCCUCUGCUCAACGGAGGCGCUGCAUCUGAAACUGUAUAUCUUGAGUGCUGGAGAGGAAAGCGGAAUUCCUAGUGUAGCGGUGAAAUGCGUAGAUAUUAGGAGGAACACCAGUGGCGAAGGCGGCUUUCUGGACAGUAACUGACGCUGAGGCGCGAAAGCGUGGGGAGCAAACAGG
rnacentral:rRNA from 1 species